rnacentral:misc_RNA from 1 species
ACAAACUUGGUCAUUUAGAGGAAGUAAAAGUCGUAACAAGGUUUCCGUAGGUGAACCUGCGGAAGGAUCAUUAUUGUGGGGGCCUUACCAGCCCAUUGCAAGAUGCAACCCUUGCCUUUUAGCGCAACGUUUUGUUUUCUUCGGCAGCUUUGGCUGCCGGUAGGGACGCCCGAAAACCCUUUUGCAAUCAGUAUAACAGUCGGAAAUGCUUCAAAUAUCACAACUUUCAACAAUGGAUCUCUUGGCUCUGGCAUCGAUGAAGAACGCAGC